rnacentral:rRNA from 1 species
UACAGAGGGGGCAAGCGUUAUUCGGAAUUAUUGGGCGUAAAGGGCGCGUAGGCGGUUUGUCGCGUCGGGAGUGAAAACCAGAGGCUUAACUUCUGGCUUGCUUUCGAUACGGGCAGACUUGAGGCAUGCAGGGGAGAACGGAAUUCCUGGUGUAGCGGUGAAAUGCGCAGAUAUCAGGAGGAACACCGGUGGCGAAGGCGGUUCUCUGGGCAUGUUCUGACGCUGAGGAGCGAAAGUGUGGGGAGCGAACAGG